UACGUAGGUGACCAGCGUUGUCCGGAUUUACUGGGCGUAAAGAGCGCGCAGGCGGUCGUUCAAGUCGAGUGUGAAAGCCCCCGGCUCAACUGGGGAGGGUCAUUCGAUACGGGCAGACUAGAGUUCGGUAGGGGAGUCUGGAAUUCCUGGUGUAGCGGUGAAAUGCGCAGAUAUCAGGAGGAACACCGAUGGCGAAGGCAGGUCUCUGGGCAUUAACUGACGCUGAGGAGCGAAAGCAUGGGGAGCGAACAGG
rnacentral:rRNA from 1 species